rnacentral:rRNA from 1 species
GACGAACGCUGGCGGCGUGCUUAACACAUGCAAGUCGAACGGAAAGGCCCUGCUUUUGUGGGGUGCUCGAGUGGCGAACGGGUGAGUAACACGUGAGUAACCUGCCCUUGACUUUGGGAUAACUUCAGGAAACUGGGGCUAAUACCGGAUAGGAGCUCCUGCUGCAUGGUGGGGGUUGGAAAGUUUCGGCGGUUGGGGAUGGACUCGCGGCUUAUCAGCUUGUUGGUGGGGUAGUGGCUUACCAAGGCCUUGACGGGUAGCCGGCCUGAGAGGGUGACCGGCCACAUUAGGACUGAGAUACGGCCCAGACUCCUACGGGAGGCAGCAGUGGGGAAUAUUGCACAAUGGGCGGAAGCCUGAUGCAGCAACGCCGCGUGCGGGAUGACGGCCUUCGGGUUGUAAACCGCUUUCGCCUGUGACGAAGCGUGAGUGACGGUAAUGGGUAAAGAAGCACCGGCUAACUACGUG